GCAUAUCAUCAUAAGACCAUGCAAAAGCAUCCUUAUAAUCAAUUAAUGCUUGAAUCAUUCCAUCUUUUAGCUGUGGAAAAGCAUGUACACUGAUUUUAGUUUCCCUAACAUCUUCUUGAUUCCCUAGAUUUAUUGGCUCAGUCUCAUUCAAAUUAGGAUUCGGUUUUUCUUCAAACUGUUCCAACUCUUUGCUUAUUUCUUCU
rnacentral:lncRNA from 1 species